rnacentral:rRNA from 1 species
AAUAGAUACCCGGGUAGUCCACGCCGUAAACGGUGGGCACUAGGUGUGGGCGACAUUCCACGUCGUCCAUGCCGCAGCUAACGCAUUAAGUGCCCCGCCCUGGGGAGUACGGCCGCAAGGCUAAAACUCAAAGGAAUUGACGGGGGGCCCGCACAAGCGGCGGAGCAUGUGGCUUAAUUCGACGCAACGCGAAGAACCUUACCAAGGCUUGACAUACACCGGAAACGUCCAGAGAUGGGCGCCCCCUUGUGGUCGGUGUACAGGUGGUGCAUGGCUGUCGUCAGCUCGUGUCGUGAGAUGUUGGGUUAAGUCCCGCAACGAGCGCAACCCUUGUCCCGUGUUGCCAGCAGGCCCUUGUGGUGCUGGGGACUCACGGGAGACCGCCGGGGUCGAACUCGGAGGAAGGUGGGGACGACGUCAAGUCAUCAUGCCCCUUAUGUCUUGGGCUGCACACGUGCUACAAUGGCCGGUACAAUGAGCUGCGAUACCGCGAGGUGGAGCGAAUCUCAAAAAGCCGGUCUCAGUUCGGAUUGGGGU